GCAAAGCAGUGAUGUGGAGCAAAACACAAAAAGCAGUCUCAGUUCAGAUUGUAGGCUGAAACUCGCCUAUAUGAAGUCGGAAUUGCUAGUAAUCGCAGAUCAGCAUGCUGCGGUGAAUACGUUCCCGGGCCUUGUACACACCGCCCGUCAAGUCAUGAAAGUGGGCAGCACCCGAAGACGGUGGCCUAACCCUUGUGGGGGGAGCCGUCUAAGGUGAGGCUCGUGAUUGGGACUAAGUCGUAACAAGGUACC
rnacentral:rRNA from 1 species